rnacentral:rRNA from 1 species
GACGAACGCUGGCGGCGUGCUUAACACAUGCAAGUCGAACGGUAAGGCCCUUCGGGGUACACGAGUGGCGAACGGGUGAGUAACACGUGGGUGAUCUGCCCUGCACUUCGGGAUAAGCCUGGGAAACUGGGUCUAAUACCGGAUAGGACUCCGGACUGCAUGGUCUGGGGUGGAAAGCUUUUGCGGUGUGGGAUGGGCCCGCGGCCUAUCAGCUUGUUGGUGGGGUGAUGGCCUACCAAGGCGACGACGGGUUGCCGGCCUGAGAGGGUGACCGGCCACAGUGGGAAUGAGAUCCGGCCCAGACUCCUACGGGAGGCAGCAGUGGGGAAUAUUGCACAAUGGGCGCAAGCCUGAUGCAGCGACGCCGCGUGAGGGAUGACGGCCUUCGGGUUGUAAACCUCUUUCAGCAUCGACGAAGCGAAAGUGACGGUAGGUGCAGAAGAAGGACCGGCCAACUACGUGCCAGCCGCCGCAGUAA